ensembl:lncRNA novel transcript
AAGCAGAGCAGCAAGAUGGGACACCAUUCGGGACCUUGUCAUGGAGAAAUCUGCUGGGCCCUAUGACAAAGGUGAAUACUUGACCUCUGUGCAGAAGACCCUCUGUGAUAUCCAGGUGCUCUCCCUGAGCCGAGUUCCUGCGAUAGAAGAUAUGGAAAUCAGCCUGCCAAACAUUCACUACUUCAACAUAGACAUGUCCAAAAUGGGUCUGAUCAACAAGGAAGAGGUAAGAGGCCCACAUAGAAAAGCUGUCAUUGGCCUCCGGGUCAGGCAAGAGAUGGGAGGUGUUCAGAGCAGCAAACCCUACAAGAUGUUGGAGGCCAUUCACAAGCAAGCGCCUGCUUGGAAAAUAACGUGGGAUAAGAACAAUGAAAUAAUUUGAUGAGGAAAGUGUUGUGCUACAUUGAAUACUCACGUCACAAAAUGUGCUUCUACAUUAUGUAACUUACAUGGUCAAAUGACUGGUACAUUUUAUUCCUGUGCUAAUUUGUCAAUUCUGUUCCAAGAGGAAAGAGUCUAACAUGACUUUUCAAAAACAAAACAA